rnacentral:rRNA from 1 species
UUCCUACGGGACGCAGCAGUGAGGAAUAUUGGUCAAUGGGCGGGAGCCUGAACCAGCCAAGUCGCGUGAAGGAAGAAGGUACUUAGUAUUGUAAACCUCUUUUGUCGGGGAGCAAGACCCGCCACGAGUGGCGGAGCGAGAGUACCCGAAGAAAAAGCAUCGGCUAACUCCGUGCCAGCAGCCGCGGUAAUACGGAGGAUGCGAGCGUUAUCCGGAUUUAUUGGGUUUAAAGGGUGCGCAGGCGGACCAUCAAGUCAGCGGUAAAAUCGUGGGGCCCAACCCCAUCCCGCCGUUGAAACUGGCGG